UACGUAGGGGGCAAGCGUUGUCCGGAAUCAUUGGGCGUAAAGAGCGUGUAGGCGGCCCGGUAAGUCCGCUGUGAAAGUCCAGGGCUCAACCCUGGGAUGCCGGUGGAUACUGUCGGGCUCGAGUCCGGAAGAGGAGUGUGGAAUUCCAGGUGUAGCGGUGAAAUGCGUAGAUAUCUGGAAGAACACCGGUGGCGAAGGCGGUCAACUGGCCCUAAACUGACGCUCAGGCACGAAAGCGUGGGGAUCAAACAGG
rnacentral:rRNA from 1 species